GACGAACGCUGGCGGCGUGCCUAAUACAUGCAAGUAGAACGCUGAAGGAGGAGCUUGCUCUUCUGGAUGAGUUGCGAACGGGUGAGUAACGCGUAGGUAACCUGCCUGGUAGCGGGGGAUAACUAUUGGAAACGAUAGCUAAUACCGCAUAAGAGUAGAUGUUGCAUGACAUUUGCUUAAAAGGUGCAAUUGCAUCACUACCAGAUGGACCUGCGUUGUAUUAGCUAGUUGGUGGGGUAACGGCUCACCAAGGCGACGAUACAUAGCCGACCUGAGAGGGUGAUCGGCCACACUGGGACUGAGACACGGCCCAGACUCCUACGGGAGGCAGCAGUAGGGAAUCUUCGGCAAUGGACGGAAGUCUGACCGAGCAACGCCGCGUGAGUGAAGAAGGUUUUCGGAUCGUAAAGCUCUGUUGUAAGAGAAGAACGAGUGUGAGAGUGGAAAGUUCACACU
rnacentral:rRNA from 1 species